rnacentral:tRNA from 1 species
CGCCCGGUGGGCGGCGGCCAGGUAGCUGCCGUCUUCCUCUUCGGGGCCAUCGUUCCACUCGAUCUGAGUGGCCA